UACGUAGGGUGCGAGCGUUGUCCGGAAUUACUGGGCGUAAAGAGUUCGUAGGCGGUUUGUCGCGUCGUCUGUGAAAACCCAUCGCUCAACGAUGGGCCGGCAGGCGAUACGGGCAGACUUGAGUACUGCAGGGGAGACUGGAAUUCCUGGUGUAGCGGUGAAAUGCGCAGAUAUCAGGAGGAACACCGGUGGCGAAGGCGGGUCUCUGGGCAUUAACUGACGCUGAGGAGCGAAAGCAUGGGGAGCGAACAGG
rnacentral:rRNA from 1 species